rnacentral:lncRNA from 1 species
GUAGUAGUAGUAGUAGUAGUAGUAGUAGUGGUCACUGCUAUAUGGUGAGCACUUACUACACCAGCAGAAGGCCUCAUCACAGCCCUGAAAGUUAUCCCCGUUUUACAGAUGAGGACGAGAAGUCUCAGAGAGGUAGAAAUUUACCUGCUGUGGCACAGCUGCUCAGCAAGUGGUCAGGGCCAAGGGCUGCAAGUGAAUUCUUUUUAACUAUCUUUCU